GCCAGCUCUCUUGCAAGAGUUCUUGCCAACAACUGAUUAGGGAACUAAUGCUCCCUCUGCUCUUUUCAUUUGUCCUUCAUAUUUUUCCAGAAGCAAAGAAGAAAGGCCCAAUGUCUUCAGUGUGCUUCUGUAUUUGCUAUUUUGAAACAAGUUUAUGUUCAUAAAAGAAAAAUUGGAAAAUAAAAUUAUUCAAAGUUCCAACCUCCAACUAGAACCACGUUUGGGCCGGCUGGCAAGUUCAGCUUCAACCUGGCAUAUAGGAGUUUGAAUGAUAAGGAGUUCCCUUUACAAAUAGGGAACUUUGCCUUAAUCACACAUGUGGCUCACUGUGGAUAGACUAUGCAAACAAUUUGGCUUAUGCUGAA